UACGUAGGCAGCAAGCGUUGUUCGGAGUUACUGGGCGUAAAGGGUGUGUAGGCGGUUCUUUAAGUUUGGUGUGAAAUCUCCCGGCUUAACUGGGAGGGUGCGCUACAGACUGUCUGACUAGAGUGUGGGAUGGGUAAGUGGAAUUCCUGGUGGUAGCGGUGAAAUGCGUAGAUAUCAGGAGGAACACCGGUGGUGUAAACGGCUUUCUGGACCGUAACUGACGCUGAUGCACGAAAGCGUGGGUAGCAAACAGG
rnacentral:rRNA from 1 species